rnacentral:rRNA from 1 species
UACGUAGGGUGCGAGCGUUGUCCGGAAUUACUGGGCGUAAAGAGCUCGUAGGUGGUUUGUCGCGUUGUCCGUGAAAACUCACAACUCAAUUGUGGGCGUGCGGGCGAUACGGGCAGACUGGAGUACUGCAGGGGAGACUGGAAUUCCUGGUGUAGCGGUGGAAUGCGCAGAUAUCAGGAGGAACACCGGUGGCGAAGGCGGGUCUCUGGGCAGUAACUGACGCUGAGGAGCGAAA